rnacentral:sRNA from 1 species
UUAUAAACCUGAUAGGAACGAACACGGAGUGCAACGAAGUAAAGUGGAUAGCAGGACUGGAG